UGACGUAGGGUGCGAGCGUGUCCGGAAUUAUUGGGCGUAAAGAGCUCGUAGGCGGUCUGUCGCGUCCGGGCUGUGAAAACCCGGGGCCUCAACCUCGGGUCGUGCAGUCGAUACGGGCGGACUGGAGGUACUGCAGGGGAGGACUGGAAUUCCUGGUGUAGCGGUGAAAUGCGCAGAUAUCAGGAGGAACGACCGGUGGCGAAGGCGGGUCACUGGGCAGUAACUGACGUGAGGAGCGAAAGCGUGGGGAGCGAACAGG
rnacentral:rRNA from 1 species